CAAUGGCAAAUGAAUGCGGCUCACAGUGACAUGCGGUGAGCCGGUGAUCUCUCCAUAAACAAGCUCAGCACCAAACCAGGGGGCAUGUGGAGGACUGGAGAUGUCAACUGCUUGCCAUGGUGCCUACCCAAAACUGCAUGGCCCCAAUGAACCCUCUGGCUGACUGACAAACAGAGAGGUUUAUGAAGAGCAGUCUCAUUGGUCAGCUGGUGUAAAUGACCCACAACAAAUCUCCUCUGUAAAUGAGCUUAUUCAUUGAUAAGCAGACUUCUUCUUACAAGACGCCAUGAAGAAGUGAGGGGUGUGUGUGUGUGUGUGUGUGUGUGUGUGUGUGUGUGUGUGUUUGUGAGAGGGAGAGAGUGUGUUGACAGAGAAAGGGAGAGGGAAACUGAAAGAGGGAAGAAGAAAUGAGAAAUAAGCGAAGGGGUCAACACUAAAAAUACUUCAAGCCUUAGAAAAUUAGACAUCAUGUCAUGUUUACUGAGAAAACCUUCGCGCCAUUUCUGCAGUAAAGAUUAAUAAUAACACCACCAGGGCUCUGUCAAACAUAGCCUGUUAUUAUUAGCCAGUUAUUUAUAGAUGAUCAGACUGUAUAAACUUGACUUCAUUUUAUCGUAUUAAUUCAGAGAGCAGUCUUGUUAUACUGGUUUCUAUGGAAGAGGACAAGUAAGCUAUCACUUCGGUCAAUCCUCAUGUCAGUAUCUGAUCUUGAAACUGCAGCUUCAGUUACACUGAGGUCCUCUUGAUGUGAAUGAUAGUAUGCAUAGCGCGACUGGCGGCUGCUGUUAACUUCAGCAGUCUCUCCCCUAUAGAAGAGUAAACAUAGUUAUAGCUUUAAAGUAAUUAAAUCUAAGUUCCUCUGAGCGAAAAGUCAUAACACGGAGUGAAUGUAAAGCGCCCGUAAGGUUAGCUAACGUUUCUCACUGAUAAACGUUGCUUGAAAACGGACUAUCAAACCCCCCCUGACAUGAAACCGCGCUUCAACUUUCCAUCUAGCCUUUGAGGAAGAGACAUAAUGAAAGUUUGUGUCAUGACAGCGUAGCAGCAGUGGUCUCUACCUGAAAUUCAGCAGUCAGUGAGGUCCAACAGUGGUGCUCAGGGUCCGCCCGUCUGUCUAACUCGUAGAGCUGUCACACUGAAUCUGUACUUGGCAACCUCACCAGCAGCGCUCCUCCUGACGUCACCUCAGGGCAGGAAAAGGACCAAUCACCGUCCGAAGCAGCGGCGCACAGGUAAACAUCUCUGCCAAGCUAUUGGUCGCAUCUCUCCACACGUGACCCUCCCUGCUGUACUUCGGAUAGAGGGCUUGGAGGUGAGUUGGUGGUUUGACGGUGGUUGUCAUAAAUGGCCCCUGCACUAAUAGGACUUUAAAAAUAGAGAUACAGCUAUAUACACGGACAACAAAGCUGAACAAAGACAGAUAAAAGUAAACAUAGAACUAUGUAAAAUAGGUGUGUGUGUGUGUGUGUGUGUGUGUGUGUGUGUGUGUGUGUGUGUGUGUGUGUGUGUGUGUGUGUGUGUGUGUGUGUGUGUGUGUGUGUAUAAACUAACAAUGACCAGCAACAAAGCAUUGUAACCACAUACAAAUAUGCUAAUCAGUACAUAUUGAAUAAACAUUAUGGUGAUGACAGCCAUUGUGAUCAUGGCCUACUUGCGGCUAGGUAUUAUCUCAAACUCUGGACCACAUAAUCCCUUACUUAAGCUAUACUGUAGAUUUGAUCCAGUGGCAAAGUGUACAAACACACAGAGAGAAGCUAUAGAACUAUUAAUAGCCUACUCAGCCUAUUACAUUAGCAGGCUACUCGUGGUAGUAGUUGUAAACUUAAUAGAUACUUAGAAAAAAUUCUUCAUUUUCCUAUGUAGCCUACAUUGAGAUGGACAUGCCUCAAUCAAAUCUGCGUUUUUGUCUUGGUUAUCUGUGUUUUCUGUGUGCCAGUGAGUGAUGUUUCUAUAGUGUUUCACAAAAGAAUAAAA